UACGGGGGGGCAAGCGUUAGGCGGAAUCACUGGGCUUAAAGCGUGUGUAGGCGGAUCGUUAAGUGUCUUGUGAAAUCCCACGGCUCACCCGUGGAACUGCUGGGCAUACUGGCGAUCUUGGGCCAACUAGGGGCAACUGGAACAAGCGGUGGAGCGGUGAAAUGCGUAGAUAUCGCUUGGAACGCCAACGGUGAAAACAGGUUGCUGGGGUUGUGCCGACGCUGAGACACGAAAGCCAGGGGAGCAAACGGG
rnacentral:rRNA from 1 species